rnacentral:lncRNA from 1 species
AUGGAUAUUUUAAAAUUUACCAAAUGUAAUUGUUUUUUCCUUAAGGCGGAUAUUCUAAACCUACCCAAAUUCUUGCUGGUGAUAGGCCUGAUAAUCAUUGGUUGCAUUAUGAUAGCAAAAGUAUACCAAGAACCAAAAAAGAAUGGGAGUCAAGCUGCUUUGUGGAGAAAACUCACUGGGGAUACUAUACCUGGCCGCAGAAUAUGGUUAUUUAUGCUGGAGUGGAAGAGCAGCCUAAGCUUGGCAGAAGCAGGGAGGAUUUGACAGAGGUAAGUAAGCAUUCUAUUCUCACUAUGUGUAAGCACUCACCUUGGUUCACCUGCAUCUUACUCUUGGCCUCUAAUUUUUUUCAAAUGGAGUUUGUGGGAUUUUUUUCCCCAGUCAGUGUAUUUCAGGAUAGCACUGGGUAAAUACUGGUAAAUGUGUACUCACUUACUCCACCCCCUUGUAUCCCCCAUCCCCCACCCCACUGCAUUCUGUUAGGGCCAGUUGGCACAAGUCUUCAUAUUUAAGAUUACUCAUGUUACUACCUCACUUUACUUGGGUACUGCUUUAUAUAGUUCUCUGCAUGUUUCUUGUGUCUGUCCUAUGUGGUAACAAGCUUCUUGAAGGCAGAGAUAAAGACUGGCUUUUAGGUGGGUUUUGUCAUUUGCUGUUGUUUGCUUUUAGUUUUUUAUUGCAUAUAAAUGAUGAGUACUCAGUGAAUAGUUGUUUAUAGAUUUAAGUUGAAACUCCUUAGUUUUCAAUAAGGUUUAUUUCUUUACCAUUUUGGAAGUUAGGGACUUUUAGUGACUUUCUCACUUAAGUUAAUGAUGUAGCUUUUUAUUUUUUAUUUAUUUAUGCGUAAAUGUAUUUUUAAGUAAGCUCUAUGCUGUAUGUGGGGCUCAAACUCAUGACCCUGAGAUGAUAAGUCAAAUGCUGUACUGACUGAGCCAGCCAGGCACCAACUCUUUAUUUUCUAAUUCAACAGUUUACCUUUUAAUUUCUGAUGUUUUAUAAAUAAGGAAAUAAUUUGUUGGCAUUUACAGUUUAGAGGAUUUUCCUAAAUUAUACACCAGAUGGCACAAUAGGACUGUCUUCAAGCAGAACUUGGUAGAUUUUAAUUCAGUUUGAGAAAUGGAAUUCAAACUUGAAGAUCUGAAGGAAAACUUUCGACUAUAAUGGAUUUAACAUUUUUAGGAGAUACUAUUUUGGUUGUAAAAAGCCUCUGAGAAGUAAAAAUGCUUUAAAACAAAAGUAACAGCCCAGUGUUAAUAAUCAAAACUUCACAGUUGAAUUUUGAUGUUUCAGAAUCACGUUCUAAAAUAGAUCUUAAACCCUGAAUGUUGUUUUUUCUUUAACUUUAUAGGCUGAACAGAUUAUAUUUGAUCAUUUUUCUGAUCCUAAAUUUGUUGAACAGUUAAUUACUUUUCUAUCUUUAGAAGACAGAAAAGGAAAAGAUAAGUUUAAUCCUCGCCGUUUUUGCCUCUUUAAGGUAAAUAUGUUAUUUAAUAUCCCUCUUCAUAUAGCUUACUGACUGGUUAGUUUGUUGGCUCAUAAGUUUUAAAGUCAAAGUUUGAGUUUGGUCAUCUGUUUUCAUCUACAGUGGUUCUAGAAAUGAUGCUAAUCAAAUUGAUCUUAGUUUAAGGUCUAGGAGUUUUGAGAAAAAGAAGCUUUUUAGUAUGUGUAUCUCUAAUAUCUGUAAUUAACAGCAUAAGAAAAAAAAUUCAGCAAGACUAUACAUUGAGUGUUUUGAGGUAUGUGUGAUAUUUUUAAAGUCAGAAGGAUUAUUUUGAUUCCAUUCAUUGUAUUUUACUGUGAUCUGUAAAUAACAGUAUUUUUAUUUUAACUUACAGACCUUGUUAAAGCAUUUCUAAAGGGUAGAACACUUGGGGUUUUGUAAGCACAGUAGUGAUGUAGUAAAUAAACACAAGCAUUCUUAGGAUUAUAAUGGAGAU